AAACUGCAACCAACUUCAGACGUCUAUCAUUUCUAAGCCACUCGUCCGACAGAUGUUAAAAUUAUUCCAGUGACAGCUCAUUAUAUUAUUUACAAGCGUACAAAAGCAUUUUGGUGAGAAUUUUCCAGAAAAAGUUAUUCGUGAUGGAAUUCAAGCGUGAUUUCGUUGUAUUUGGCUGGAAAACCACAUGUGGCUAUCUGGCCGAAAAAUGGCUCGUGAGCUGAACAUAUCGCAAUUUUCCAUUCGGCAAAAAGUG